GUGCCAGCCGCCGCGGUAAUACGUAGGGGGCGAGCGUUGUCCGGAGUUACUGGGCAUAAAGGGCAUGCAGGCGGUCGGACGCGUUUUGUGUGACAGCGGGUGGCUCAACUACCCGAGCAUGCGAAAGACGGUCGGACUUGAGGACUCGAGAGGGACACGGAAUUCCGGGUGGAGUGGUGAAAUGCGUAGAGAUCCGGAGGAACACCGAAGGCGAAGGCAGUGUCCUGGCGAGUGACUGACGCUGAGGUGCGAAAGCCAGGGGAGCGAACGGGAUUAGAUACCCCGGUAGUCCUGGCCGUAAACGAUGACCACCAGGUGUGGGAGGUAUCGACCCCUUCUGUGCCGAAGGCAACCCAUUAAGUGGUCCGCCUGGGGAGUACGGUCGCAAGAUUAAA
rnacentral:rRNA from 1 species